rnacentral:lncRNA from 1 species
GCAUGGAUUAAACCAAAAUUUGCUCAAAUUAACAGAGGGUAAACUGAAAUUUGCUCAAAAUAUAAGGGGGUAAACUUAAAUUUGCUGAAAUUAACGGGGGUGAAAUUUUCCAUGAAGGUCCAAAACAAAAAAAAUCUUCAAAUUAUAUAAGGAUGAAAUUUAAAAAUAAAAAAAUUACAGGAAGGAAAAUCAAAAAUGACCUAUAUUAUUAGGGUAAAGCAAUAUUCACCCAAUAUAUAAAUUCAAAUUACAUAACGUUCUAGUGUAAGUUAUAUUUCAUAGAUUUUUUUUUUUUCCAGUAUACGGAAUUACUCUUCCCUGCAAGGCAUAAUUAUACUUUCUUGGUCUAGGACUCAUGCAAUCAUCAGUGCAGUCCAGUUAAUCUACAC